rnacentral:lncRNA from 1 species
GAGGAGAGAAGGUGAAGCUGCUCCCUGGGCUUGGCUUGAAUGCCAUUGCUUUGGCUAGAGAGAGGCCAAAGUAAUGCAGUGAAAGGCAGACCUUUGUCAUGGUAAGUCUCAUUUUUUGAGUAUGGUCCGGCGUAUUAUCGGUGCACUCAUUCCGAAUUUGUUUGUACCGCCCAGAAGGACAUGAGAGAAAAAGCGGAUCCAAUACCAAGACGUUAGAGAGAGAGGCUGGACGGUGAGGCAGAUAAAGAGAGAUAAAAAGCAGCAUGAGCAAGAUUUCGAGUAGAAUAUUCAAAGCUUUUGAGCAAGUAAGAUGGAUGGAUUUGGAAGCA